rnacentral:lncRNA from 1 species
UGGUGGCUGUGGACAUGAGAGUUGGGGGGAGAGGGGGUGGUCAAGUGCGCAGUUGUCAGAUAAGAGGUGGUCAGAUGAGAUAUGGAUAACAAAGAAGAUCUCGCAUGCGUCUUCCAUGGUCUGGGUAUUUAUGAAAUUCAUAUAAGAUGAUAAUUUUUGCAUUUUGUAAACGUUUGUAUUUCUUUUUGUAUGAUACAAUCAGAUUUUGUUCAGAUACUUUUUGUUUAGAAACCAAAAGAAAGAUUUAUUAAUGAAAGGGUUAAAGCCGUUAAACUAAAUUAACAAAACUUCAAACCCAUACAGCCGAACAGUCGACGGAAAUUGCGCCCUACAUCCCGGUGAGAUUUCACUCUAGACAGUUACACAACAGGGCGCUUCAUAAUAUAAACUCUCUUUCACCGACUCUUUUUUAUUUUUUUCCUCAGAUCCCACUUCAGCCGGAGGAACAAGAAUCACUUGGAAACCACUACCCUAUCAUUAGCCAAUAUGCCGCACAACACUACCUCCACCCAGACCAAAGCCUACAAGAUUACACUGGCAUUGUCGCCAACAUUGGCAUCCAUUCACACACUGACCACCAAAGCCUUGACCACAACACUCCCGACCACAACAACGCUCUGCCUAACCACGAGAGUCCUCC